ensembl:snoRNA
UUAAGAAAAAAAUCUUUUGGCGGGUCCUCUGUGGGCCUCUCAUAGUACCCAUGCCAGAGAAAAUUGCAGCCUUGAACCACUGCCCAGCCCUCUCACCUGUGUGGGCUGUGAGCACUGAAGAGGGUUAUAUAGUG